GGUUAAGCGACUAAGCGUACACGGUGGAUGCCCUGGCAGUCAGAGGCGAUGAAGGACGUGCUAAUCUGCGAUAAGCGUCGGUAAGGUGAUAUGAACCGUUAUAACCGGCGAUUUCCGAAUGGGGAAACCCAGUGUGAUUCGUCACACUAUCAUUAACUGAAUCCAUAGGUUAAUGAGGCGAACCGGGGGAACUGAAACAUCUAAGUACCCCGAGGAAAAGAAAUCAACCGAGAUUCCCCCAGUAGCGGCGAGCGAACGGGGAGCAGCCCAGAGCCUGAAUCAGUGUGUGUGUUAGUGGAAGCGUCUGGAAAGGCGCGCGAUACAGGGUGACAGCCCCGUACACAAAAAUGCACAUGCUGUGAGCUCGAUGAGUAGGGCGGGACACGUGGUAUCCUGUCUGAAUAUGGGGGGACCAUCCUCCAAGGCUAAAUACUCCUGACUGACCGAUAGUGAACCAGUACCGUGAGGGAAAGGCGAAAAGAACCCCGGCGAGGGGAGUGAAAAAGAACCUGAAACCGUGUACGUACAAGCAGUGGGAGCACGCUUAGGCGUGUGACUGCGUACCUUUUGUAUAAUGGGUCAGCGACUUAUAUUCUGUAGCAAGGUUAACCGAAUAGGGGAGCCGAAGGGAAACCGAGUCUUAACUGGGCGUUAAGUUGCAGGGUAUAGACCCGAAACCCGGUGAUCUAGCCAUGGGCAGGUUGAAGGUUGGGUAACACUAACUGGAGGACCGAACCGACUAAUGUUGAAAAAUUAGCGGAUGACUUGUGGCUGGGGGUGAAAGGCCAAUCAAACCGGGAGAUAGCUGGUUCUCCCCGAAAGCUAUUUAGGUAGCGCCUCGUGAAUUCAUCUCCGGGGGUAGAGCACUGUUUCGGCAAGGGGGUCAUCCCGACUUACCAACCCGAUGCAAACUGCGAAUACCGGAGAAUGUUAUCACGGGAGACACACGGCGGGUGCUAACGUCCGUCGUGAAGAGGGAAACAACCCAGACCGCCAGCUAAGGUCCCAAAGUCAUGGUUAAGUGGGAAACGAUGUGGGAAGGCCCAGACAGCCAGGAUGUUGGCUUAGAAGCAGCCAUCAUUUAAAGAAAGCGUAAUAGCUCACUGGUCGAGUCGGCCUGCGCGGAAGAUGUAACGGGGCUAAACCAUGCACCGAAGCUGCGGCAGCGACGCUUAUGCGUUGUUGGGUAGGGGAGCGUUCUGUAAGCCUGUGAAGGUGUACUGUGAGGUAUGCUGGAGGUAUCAGAAGUGCGAAUGCUGACAUAAGUAACGAUAAAGCGGGUGAAAAGCCCGCUCGCCGGAAGACCAAGGGUUCCUGUCCAACGUUAAUCGGGGCAGGGUGAGUCGACCCCUAAGGCGAGGCCGAAAGGCGUAGUCGAUGGGAAACAGGUUAAUAUUCCUGUACUUGGUGUUACUGCGAAGGGGGGACGGAGAAGGCUAUGUUGGCCGGGCGACGGUUGUCCCGGUUUAAGCGUGUAGGCUGGUUUUCCAGGCAAAUCCGGAAAAUCAAGGCUGAGGCGUGAUGACGAGGCACUACGGUGCUGAAGCAACAAAUGCCCUGCUUCCAGGAAAAGCCUCUAAGCAUCAGGUAACAUCAAAUCGUACCCCAAACCGACACAGGUGGUCAGGUAGAGAAUACCAAGGCGCUUGAGAGAACUCGGGUGAAGGAACUAGGCAAAAUGGUGCCGUAACUUCGGGAGAAGGCACGCUGAUAUGUAGGUGAAGCGACUUGCUCGUGGAGCUGAAAUCAGUCGAAGAUACCAGCUGGCUGCAACUGUUUAUUAAAAACACAGCACUGUGCAAACACGAAAGUGGACGUAUACGGUGUGACGCCUGCCCGGUGCCGGAAGGUUAAUUGAUGGGGUCAGCGCAAGCGAAGCUCUUGAUCGAAGCCCCGGUAAACGGCGGCCGUAACUAUAACGGUCCUAAGGUAGCGAAAUUCCUUGUCGGGUAAGUUCCGACCUGCACGAAUGGCGUAAUGAUGGCCAGGCUGUCUCCACCCGAGACUCAGUGAAAUUGAACUCGCUGUGAAGAUGCAGUGUACCCGCGGCAAGACGGAAAGACCCCGUGAACCUUUACUAUAGCUUGACACUGAACAUUGAGCCUUGAUGUGUAGGAUAGGUGGGAGGCUUUGAAGUGUGGACGCCAGUCUGCAUGGAGCCGACCUUGAAAUACCACCCUUUAAUGUUUGAUGUUCUAACGUUGACCCGUGAUCCGGGUUGCGGACAGUGUCUGGUGGGUAGUUUGACUGGGGCGGUCUCCUCCUAAAGAGUAACGGAGGAGCACGAAGGUUGGCUAAUCCUGGUCGGACAUCAGGAGGUUAGUGCAAUGGCAUAAGCCAGCUUGACUGCGAGCGUGACGGCGCGAGCAGGUGCGAAAGCAGGUCAUAGUGAUCCGGUGGUUCUGAAUGGAAGGGCCAUCGCUCAACGGAUAAAAGGUACUCCGGGGAUAACAGGCUGAUACCGCCCAAGAGUUCAUAUCGACGGCGGUGUUUGGCACCUCGAUGUCGGCUCAUCACAUCCUGGGGCUGAAGUAGGUCCCAAGGGUAUGGCUGUUCGCCAUUUAAAGUGGUACGCGAGCUGGGUUUAGAACGUCGUGAGACAGUUCGGUCCCUAUCUGCCGUGGGCGCUGGAGAACUGAGGGGGCUGCUCCUAGUACGAGAGGACCGGAGUGGACGCAUCACUGGUGUUCGGGUUGUCAUGCCAAUGGCACUGCCCGGUAGCUAAAUGCGGAAGAGAUAAGUGCUGAAAGCAUCUAAGCACGAAACUUGCCCCGAGAUGAGUUCUCCCUGACUCCUUGAGAGUCCUGAAGGAACGUUGAAGACGACGACGUUGAUAGGCCGGGUGUGUAAGCGCAGCGAUGCGUUGAGCUAACCGGUACUAAUGAACCGUGAGGCUUAACCUU
rnacentral:rRNA from 1 species